AUAUCGUUUUGUGGGCUUGUUUUCUUUUUUAGUUUUGGAUAAAUGGACUUGAGCUUGUUUCUUCUUGCAUUACAUUUAUUUACACAUCUGUUUAGUUUAGUUAUGCAAAUUCCACCUUUGUUUCAUUUGAAAAUAAUCAUAGAAAAUUAAAACAAUGUUACCUUAAAGUGAGAUUAUAGUUGAUCUGAAAAUGAAUAUAAAGGAAUCUGGUUUGUUCGCUUCGGUGUCCUUUUAAGAAUGA